rnacentral:rRNA from 1 species
CGGACGGGUGAGUAAUGCUUGGGAAUCUGGCUAUGAGGGGGAUAACUACGGGAAACUGUAGCUAAUACCGCAUAAUAUCGAAAGAUUAAAAGGGUGGGACUUUCGGGCCACCUGCCAUGAGAUGAGCCCAAGUGGGAUUAGGUAGUUGGUUAGGUAAAGGCUGACCAAGCCGACGAUCUCUAGCUGGUCUGAGAGGAUGACCAGCCACACUGGGACUGAGACACGGCCCAG